rnacentral:rRNA from 1 species
UAUGUGAUCGUCUCUCGCAUAUCAAUAAGCGGAGGAAAAGAAACUAACAAGGAUUCCCCUAGUAACGGCGAGUGAAGCGGGAAGAGCUCAAAUUUGAAAUCUUAAAGGGUUUCCCUUUACGAAUUGUAGUUUAAAGAAGUGUUUUCUGUUGAGGUUUUGGUAAAAGUUCUUUGGAAUAGGACAUCAUAGAGGGUGAGAAUCCCGUAUUUGACCUUUACUUUCAACUUUGUGAUACACUUUCAAAGAGUCGGAUUGUUUGGGAAUGCAGUCCAAAAUGGGUGGUAAAUUUCAUCUAAAGCUAAAUAUUGGCGAGAGACCGAUAGCGAACAAGUACCGUGAGGGAAAGAUGAAAAGAACUUUGAAAAGAGAGUUAAACAGUACGUGAAAUUGUCAAAAGGGAAGCGUUUGACACCAGUGUUGUUUUUCUGAAAAUCAAUUAAAGAACUGUUUAUGCUAAGCUGUUUAGACUUUAUCAACUAAUCUGUUUAGUUUUGAGCUUUUCUUUAAUGCACUUUUCAGUUAACAAGUCAACAUCAAUUUCUUUUGCUGUAAAAAAGCUUGAGGAAGGUGGCUUGAGAUUCGUCUUAAGUGUUUAUAGCCUCUUGCCUAUGCAGUCGGAGAGAUUGAGGUCUGCAGCGUAGAUCCUUCGGGGCUAAAUGCAUUUGUGCUAAGUUAUAGCAUUUUAUAGACAACUUGUUGACUAUGAUUUGUCUUGUAGCUUACUCGCUUAUGUUAUUUUACCUACGCUUAGGAUGUUGAGUCGUAGAGCACGCAG